UCUUAUUACAAACAAUAGAAAUUCCAAAAAUAAAUAACGCAUCAAUAAAAUAAAUCUCAACUACUUGAUGCCAUUCAUACAACCUAAUACUGUGCUUGAGAAUAUAAAAUAAAAGAACAAACAAUUAAAAGAAAAGAUGUCGGAGAUUGCCUCAAUCGAGCUUUUUACACCCCACACCGAGACGCCACAUCCAAUAGCUCG
rnacentral:lncRNA from 1 species